UACGUAGGUGACCAGCGUUGUUCGGAAUUACUGGGCGUAAAGGGCGCGUAGGCGGUCUGCUAAGUUGGAUGUGAAAACUCUGGGCUUAACCCAGAGCCUGCAUUCAAUACUGACAGGCUAGAGUUCUGGAGGGGAUAGCGGAAUUCCUGGUGUAGCGGUGAAAUGCGUAGAUAUCAGGAGGAACACCGGUGGCGAAGGCGGCUAUCUGGACAGAGUCUGACGCUGAGGCGCGAAAGCUAGGGGAGCAAACAGG
rnacentral:rRNA from 1 species